UACAGAGGAUGCAAGCGUUAUCCGGAAUGAUUGGGCGUAAAGCGUCUGUAGGUGGCUUUUUAAGUCCGCCGUCAAAUCCCAGGGCUCAACUCUGGACAGGCGGUGGAAACUACCAAGCUGGAGUGCGGUAGGGGAGAUUGGAAUUCCUGGUGUAGCGGUGGAAUGCGCAGAUAUCAGGAGGAACACCGAUGGCGAAGGCAGAUCUCUGGGCCGUAACUGACGCUGAGGAGCGAAAGCAUGGGGAGCGAACAGG
rnacentral:rRNA from 1 species